AGAAUGCAGAGAGUUCUAGAAUUCAAACUAUUCCUGCAGCAGACUAUGCGAAUUUUAUGACCUAUGAGGAAGAUAAGCAGGCCAAGGUCCCGAUUCUAAUUCUGAAGGAGCACAGGACAAGGUUUAGGAAACAUGGAUAUUGGUGGAUCUUGCAGAGUUCGGUACCUCCAGGACUUUGAAUUCACUGUACAGAUCCUUGGCACUCCUGACACUUGCUGCAGAGCAGUUCCGUGUGGCAGCGCUGAGAAAUUGAACCUCUGCACCGGUCUCUGGCUUUACAGGUUUGAAAACUCACGCAGAGAAGUUCUGCAGAUUACAGUCUCUACUUUCCCCCUUGGAGGGUGGGGGAUUCUUAAAUAUUCCUGUUACAGACCUACCGGGUGUCCGCAGGCUUUGCCCUGGGAAGCAGCUCCCGUGGGGAGGAGGGUGUGAACAGCGCGAGCAGAGCUGAGGCCCCGGGCCCAGCCGUGCCCGGCAGUGCAGGGCGAUUCCUGCCGGGGAAACGCCGCCUCCCGGGAGCAGCCGACGGGAAUCACUUACAGCGAGGCGGGGGAGCUCGGAGCGCCGAGCGCGGGCUGCGGGAGCGCGGAGCGCAGGGCGCGGAGUGCGGAGUGCAGGAAGGUCGAGCGCGGCAUGCGGAGAGCGGGAUCAGGAGCGUGGG